rnacentral:lncRNA from 1 species
GCUGACCCAGCCUGUUUCUACUUGCUUUGCAUGAUUGUUCUUGAUUUUUCAAAAUAAUAAUAACAACUACUAACCAGGAAAAAAAAAAUCGCCCGGGGGGCCGUGGAGCAGGCUCCCGAUGCCAGAGCCCUGGGCCACCUGCUGCUCCCCGAGAUACCUACUCAGCAUUCUUAGUUUACAAAACCGAGAGCAAGUCUCUCCCCAAAUCGGGGCUCCGGAGCCCAAGCGGCUCUGAGGACGGAAUAUGCUGGAAUCAGCAGAAUCAGAAAGACAAAUAUUGUCUUGACGGCAUCCAUAACCGUAGCACAGUGAUUUCAGUUUUUUGAAAUCUUUAAAAUUCUAUUUGUAGUUUACUCAGAAGUGCAGUUUCGCCUUUCCAUAAUUUCCUGUAUUUAUUUUUUUAGGAGACAAUGCAUUCACAUGGUUCAUAGUCAAAAGUUGCAAAAUAAUAUGCAGGGAAAAUGUUCCAUCCUAUCUCUGCCUCGCAGCCACCCAUUUCCUUCCCAGGCGCUGCAGCUGAGAGCUGUGUCUCUUGCCAGAGUUAGACCAUGAACAUUCAGGUCCACAGGCCUUCAUCCAAAAUCCUUAGGGACAGAUUGGUUUCAGAAUCCAGAACUUUUCAGGUGUCAGACAGGUACCGAGGUGCAUAUACAUGUAUUUAGUAACACCUCCUCCCCCGACCCCCUGUAGGUUCUGUGUAGGAUGACUCAUCGCCCGGAUCUGAGCCCUGGAAGUUCCAUCCAGACUCAAGGAACCCUGUCAAUCCCAGGCAGACAGGCUGCAGGUCACCUGUAAGUCAGUAUAAGGUAUUCACACUAAUAAGGAUAAGUACCAACUGCAAGUGUCUUCACACCUUUUUAUCUCUUGUUUUGCUACCACAUAAGUUUGCCACAAACCAAAAGAAAGAUUGGUUUUCAGAUGUUUUUUUGGAUUUGGGGAUUAUGGACAAGGGACUGGAGACCUGUAAGCAAAUGUGCAUAUAUUCCUAUCACCCGCCCAAAUGGAAGCACAGUGUGGGGCACCUUGCUUUUUACCACUCAGUUUAUCU